UGGCCCAUGAUCAGCACUAAUUUUGGGGCAAAAAUAGGGAGAGAAGGUCCAUGUCCUCAAAAUCAACACUUUCAGGUGCAUUUUUCCAGUUACCACUCCACCUCCAACAAGGUAUCAGCUAUAGGAGACAUUACAUGGCAGUAUGCUAAUACCCAAGAUUUUGAUGGGAGAGGUGAUAUAGGAUAGUGAUCAAGAUAGAGACUGGGUGUGUAGCAACAGGGUUUUUGUGGUUGUCAAGGGAGGGAGAGAGGUAGGGGUGAAGUGGG
rnacentral:lncRNA from 1 species